rnacentral:rRNA from 1 species
CCUACGGGGUGCACCAGUGGGGAAUAUUGGACAAUGGGCGAAAGCCUGAUCCAGCAAUGCCGCGUGUGUGAAGAAGGUCUUCGGAUUGUAAAGCACUUUCGACGGGGACGAUGAUGACGGUACCCGUAGAAGAAGCCCCGGCCAACUUCGUGCCAGUAGCCGCGGUAAUACGAAGGGGGCUAGCGUUGCUCGGAAUGACUGGGCGUAAAGGGCGCGUAGGCGGUUUAUGCAGUCAGAUGUGAAAUCCCCGGGCUUAACCUGGGAACUGCAUUUGAGACGCAUAGACUAGAGGUCGAGAGAGGGUUGUGGAAUUCCCAGUGUAGAGGUGAGAUUCGUAGAUAUUGGGAAGAACAUCGGUGGCGAAGGCGGCAACCUGGCUCGAUACAGACGCUGAGGCGCGAAAGCGUGGGGAGCUAACAGGAUUAGAUACCCGUGUAGUC